AACGAACGCUGGCGGCAGGCUUAACACAUGCAAGUCGAACGGUCUCUUUUAGAGGCAGUGGCAGACGGGUGAGUAACGCGUGGGAAUAUACCUAUCAGUACGGAACAACAGUUGGAAACGACUGCUAAUACCGUAUACGCCCUUUUGGGGAAAGAUUUAUUGCUGAUAGAUUAGCCCGCGUUAGAUUAGCUAGUUGGUGGGGUAAAGGCCUACCAAGGCGACGAUCUAUAGCUGGUCUGAGAGGAUGAUCAGCCACACUGGGACUGAGACACGGCCCAGACUCCUACGGGAGGCAGCAGUGGGGAAUAUUGGACAAUGGGCGCAAGCCUGAUCCAGCCAUGCCGCGUGAGUGAUGAAGGCCUUAGGGUUGUAAAGCUCUUUCAGCAGGGAAGAUAAUGACGGUACCUGAAGAAGAAGCCCCGGCUAACUUCGUGCCAGCCGCCGCGGUAAAAC
rnacentral:rRNA from 1 species